CUGCCACCUUCUCUACUCGGCGAUCAGCAUUGGGCUUUUUCCAUUUGUGGCAGAUUACUGUAACGCUAUUGUACAACAACUUCCUGCCUCUUUUGGCACCGGUUUCUAAAAAAUCUGCAAAAGCUGAGCUCGUGGCUUCAAACUUUUUUCCCCCCUCGGCCUUGAACUGCAGGAGCUUUAUAAGGAAAGGAAAAGAGGAAGGAGAUGUGUAAAGUUUGUCUGUUACUGAGGAGCUAUUUUGAUGUCAUUUCUGCUUUAUAAACUGCUGAGAAUUAAAGAGGGGACUUCAUGCCUAGCAGAGACAAUGAGAGAAAAAAAGGAUUCAAAAAGAGGAAGCAGAGUAGGAGAAGAGACACAGAGGGAAAAGGAGCAAAGGAGAGUUUCUUGUGGGAACAAGCUGGAAAAUAUGGACCUAUUCGAUAUGAGACCUCGGAGUGGACAACCUAUCCGAAGAGGGACGCGCCCUAACUGUAACUAACAACUACUUCUGGCAGCCCUUCAACAGCCAAACAUAUUGUCCUGGAUCAGGGCAGAGAACUAGGGCAGCUCCGGCAAGAAAUUCACAUUCAACGAGAGUACCAAUAAUGGAAUUUAAAUGUAGUCAAUUAAUAACUUUUGUAUUAGAUUUAGAUGUAAACCGUUAUUAGGAUGUUGCUUAUCAAACUCAAAAAUAAUUUAAAAGGCCACAGAAACACACUAAACCAAUAUUAGAGACAAGAAGGGGGACACAUGAGCAGGUUUUUUAUAUUUCUACUAAAUAUAAUCCUUUUCUAUUAUUUUGUAUGACAUAAAUGUUACCCAUUUUCUUGUUCUAUGACGUUACAAGUUCAAAAUUAACCCCAAUUAAACUGUUACUCCUUUCACAUUACUGUCAUAAUUUGAAUACAUUUUCAUUUAACCCUUUCUGACACAAAAUAAAUAUAGCAGAAGUAAGCACAGCCAUUUUUCAUGGGAUUUUAAUAAUAAAGAAUGAUUUGAUAGCAAAAUACAAUUUCUUCACAUGAAUCAAAGGUCUCUCAUGAAAUAGACUAGAGAGAUAUUUGUACUUGUUGAAAAUAUUGUAUAAUUCAAGCAACAUAAAUAAUGAAAAUUAAAUGGAGUUACCCAAACUUCACUGUAAAACAAUAUGCAAGACAUUCGUGCUGCAGGUACAAAUUAUCAAAGCUAAUUCUCCAUUUCUGUCCUAUUCACUUGCCUUUGCUUCCACAUACCUGAAGUCUCCCUUUGUCCUGAGAGCAGCUACACCUACUGUAAACCGCCUCAGCCAUUUUGUUUUAAUCUUCCUCAACACUAAACCGGGAGUGCACAGGCCUUGCAUUUUAGGCGCCACGUCACAACGCCAGUGCCUGCACUGCAGGGCUGCGCAAGGAGUCCAACAGCCCUGGCACUCAGCAGCUCCCUGCCUCGACAAACAAUGUGUGCACAUUUGUUGUUUUAAGAUAGUCCCUAGCAUCCCUGCUUAUACCGACAACAGCAAAACAUUCAACGAACGCUUUAGAAAUGUCAUAAACACGCUGUCAUCCAGGUCUUCUCUCCACCACAGAGCCACUGAGCCUUCAGCCCCCGCAUCACCACCUCAGUAAAGUUAGCUCAUUCACACACACACACCAGAUCUGAUACUCAUCCAAUUCAGCAUUGAUUUUUAAUGAGGUUGAGAACCGCUUCUACAUUUCGGCACAAUUAUCGGUGUGACUUUUUAAAAGGUAACAGUACUAAUAUUGAUAUGAAAGUGACACAGAUAAAACACUGAUUAUGUCAAUUCCACUGGGCUGAUGAACUGUAAUUGAUGUGCAUAAUGUCAUGUUGCAGGAAGAUAUUUAUAUUAUUUUUAAAGAUGUGUUGUGUUAUUUGUUAUACUAUGAUUAUUAUUUAUUUAUAUCGAUUUUUUUUUAUUGGAAGCAAAAUAGUAUGUGUAUUAAACUGUACAUUGGAACAUCAUUUUUAUCUUAUUUUUUGUAUUAAUUCUGCUUUUGCUGUGUGUGGUUUUAUAUAUUUUAGAGUAUGUAGGCAUUGUAAAUAUAAUCUACAUACUCUUUAAAAUAUGCCCCCGCCUUAGGACCCUUCAUGGUGCAGUACGGGUUUUGGAGAUGAAAACAGCUCGUGGCUUUAGGUGUAAAAAUGAUUUGGUAUGGAUACAGUGACUUGUUCUAUUAUUUUCCAUCAUGUGUGACCAUGUAUUAAUUGAAAUGUAUCAAAAUCACUUCAUAAACUAGUACAAUAUCCAAA